AGGGUGAACGGCCACACUGGAACUGAGACACGGUCCAGACUCCUACGGGAGGCAGCAGUGGGGAAUCUUCCGCAAUGGGCGAAAGCCUGACGGAGCAACGCCGCGUGAAUGAAGAAGGCCUUCGGGUUGUAAAAUUCUGUCUUCAGGGAGGAAAAAAAUGACGGUACCUGAGGAGGAAGCCCCGGCUAACUACGUGCCAGCAGCCGCGGUAAUACGUAGGGGGCAAGCGUUGUCCGGAAUUACUGGGCGUAAAGGGCGCGUAGGCGGCUUCUUAAGUCAAUAGGUGAAAACUGUGGGCUCAACCCAUAGCGUGCCUUUGAAACUGGGAGGCUUGAGGACAGGAGAGGGGAGUGGAAUUCCCAGUGUAGCGGUGAGAUGCGUAGAUAUUGGGAGGAACACCAGUGGCGAAGGCGGCUCUCUGGCCUGUAACUGACGCUGAGGCGCGAAAGCGUGGGGAGCAAACGGGAUUAGAUACCCCGGUAGUCCACGCCGUAAACGAUGGGUGCUAGGUGUAGGAGGUAUCGACCCCUUCUGUGCCGUAGUUAACACAAUAAGCACCCCGCCUGGGGAGUACGGCCGCAAGGUUGAAACUCAAAGGAAUUGACGGGGGCCCGCACAAGCGGUGGAGCAUGUGGUUUAAUUCGACGCAACGCGAAGAACCUUACCAGGGUUUGACAUCCCCUGACAGCUGAGGAAACUCAGUGUUCCAGCUUCGGUUGGACAGGGAGACAGGUGGUGCAUGGUUGUCGUCAGCUCGUGUCGUGAGAUGUUGGGUUAAGUCCCGCAACCAGCGCAACCCCUACGUUUAGUUGCUAACAGGUGAAGCUGAGCACUCUAAAAGAACUGCCGUUGACAAAACGGAGGAAGG
rnacentral:rRNA from 1 species